rnacentral:rRNA from 1 species
AUUGAACGCUGGCGGCAGGCCUAACACAUGCAAGUCGAGCGGAUGAAGGGAGCUUGCUCCUGGAUUCAGCGGCGGACGGGUGAGUAAUGCCUAGGAAUCUGCCUGGUAGUGGGGGAUAACGUCCGGAAACGGGCGCUAAUACCGCAUAUGUCCUGAGGGAGAAAGUGGGGGAUCUUCGGACCUCACGCUAUCAGAUGAGCCUAGGUCGGAUUAGCUAGUUGGUGGGGUAAAGGCCUACCAAGGCGACGAUCCGUAACUGGUCUGAGAGGAUGAUCAGUCACACUAGAACUGAGACACGGUCCAGACUCCUACGGGAGGCAGCAGUGGGGAAUAUUGGACAGUGGGCGAAAGCCUGAUCCAGCCAUGCCGCGUGUGUGAAGAAGGUCUUCGGAUUGUAAAGCACUUUAAGUUGGGAGGAAGGGCAGUAAGUUAAUACCUUGCUGUUUUGACGUUACCAACAGAAUAAGCACCGGCUAACUUCGUG